AACUAGGCAUAGAUACCCUAUUAUUAAAAAUUAAUAUAUAUAGUACUAAAAUAGUAAAUAUUAAAUAUUGAAACUUAAAUAAUAUGGCGGUAUUUUAGUUUAUUUAGAGGAAUCUGUUUUAUAAUUGAUAAUCCACGAAUAAAUUUACUUAAUUUAAUAUCUUAUAUAUCGUUGUUAGAAAAAUAUUUUAAAAUAAAAAUAAUAUUUAAAAAUUUUAAAAAAAAAAUUAAUUCAGAUCAAGAUGUAGAAUAUAAUUAAGAAAAUGAUGGAUUACAAUAAAAUAAUUUACGAAUAAUUUUAUUAUAAUAUAAAAAUUGAAGCGGAUUGAGAGUUUUUUUUGUUUCCGGGAUUGCCUUCGGUGC
rnacentral:rRNA from 1 species